rnacentral:lncRNA from 1 species
GAAUGGUGAAAUCCAAAGAAGAUACUUGUGGUGGUGGCCUUGUGAUGACGACAACGUGUCCUAUUUGCAAAACCUUCUCAUCAGCUUCCAACACUACUUUGAAUGCUCACAUCGAUCAGUGUCUGUCUGCUGAUUCAGAACUGCCACCUGUUAGUAGUACUAAGCCAAACAAGCUUAGAAUUGAUCAGCGUCUGUCUGCUGAUUCAGAACUGCCACCUGUUAGUACUUAUAAGCCAAACAAGCAUAGAGUUGAUCAGCGUCUGUCUGUUGAUUCAGCCGUGCCACCUGUUAGUAGUACUAAGCCAAACAAGCCUAGAGUUAAUCAGUGUCUGUCUGUUGAUUUAUCCGUGCCACCGGUUAGCACCAAGCCAAACAAGCCUAGAGCUAAGCCACAGAUGAAAGUUAA